AUAUAUUCAUCACAUAUCACAUGUUUUCUAAUCAUGAUUAUUCAAGAAAAAAUGUAUGGACAGAUAGCCAGGAUUUUGUUUCUUAAAGCUGAGAGAGAAAGUUUCUAAUAAUAGAAAUGAGGAGUAACAGAUACGAAAUAGGUACCCCACACACAAGCAAGGUAAUGGAAUGAUACAUUCCAUGAUUUAUAAAGAAAACAGCACAAUAUAUUAGGUGCUCAUUGGAAUUGUUUGGUGAAGAUUUUGAGAAAGUUUCAUUAAGUUUUGAUUAGGGUGAA
rnacentral:lncRNA from 1 species